AUUGAACGCUGGCGGCAGGCCUAACACAUGCAAGUCGAACGAGUGGCGGACGGGUGAGUAAUGUCUGGGAAACUGCCCGAUGGAGGGGGAUAACUACUGGAAACGGUAGCUAAUACCGCAUACCAUCGGAUGUGCCCAGAGGGGAUUAGCUAGUAGGUGGGGUAACGGCUCACCUAGGCGACGAUCCCUAGCGGGUCUGAGAGGAUGAACAGCCACACUGGAACUGAGAAACGGUCCAGACUCCUACGGGAGGGAGCAGGGGGGAAUAUUGGAAAAUGGGCAGAAGCCUGAAGCAGCCAGGCCGCGUGUAUGGAGAAGGCCUUCGGGUUGUAAAGUACGUUUAGCGGGGGAGCGGUACUCGCAGAAGAAGCACCGGCUAACUCCGUGCCAGCAGCCGCGGUAAUAC
rnacentral:rRNA from 1 species